rnacentral:rRNA from 1 species
CCCCUAGAUGUUCUGGGCCGCACGCGCGCUACACUGAACAGUUCAACAAGUCUUAACCUUGGCCGAUAGGUCUGGGUAAUCUUUGAACGCUGUUCGUGAUUGGGAUAGACCUUUGCAAUUAUGGGUCUUCAACGAGGAAUUCCUAGUAAACGCAAGUCAUCAGCUUGCAUUGAUUACGUCCCUCCCCUUUGUACACACCGCCCGUCGCACCUACCGAUUGAAUGGUCCGGUGAAAUCUCGGGACGGCGGCUUGGUCGCUUGCGUCCGACUGCUGAAACUUGAUUAAACCAUNUNAUUUAGNGGAAGGUGAANUCGUANCA